rnacentral:rRNA from 1 species
GUUCUCCCCGAAAUAGCUUUAGGGCUAGCCUCAAGCUUAGAGAAACGGAGGUAGAGCACUGAAUGUCCUAGGGGGUAUUGCACUUACCGAAGACUAUCAAACUCCGAAUACCGUAUUCUUAUGCUUGGGAGUCAGACUGUGGGUGAUAAGAUUCAUAGUCAAAAGGGCAACAGCCCAGAUCGUCAGCUAAGGUCCCUAAAUGUACGUUAAGUGGUAAAGGAUGUGGGAUUGCACAGACAACCAGGAUGUUGGCUUAGAAGCAGCCACUCAUUUAAAGAGUGCGUAAUAGCUCACUGGUCGAGUGAUUCUGCGCCGAAAAUUUCCGGGGCUAAAACUUACUACCGAAGCUACGGCAUCAUUAUGAUGGGUAGGGGAGCUUUCUAUGUGGCUUGAAGCAUGACCGUAAGGACAUGUGGACUGUAUAGAAGUGAGAAUGUUGGCAUGAGUAGCGAGAUGUGGGUGAGAAUCCCACAGGCCGUAAACCCAAGGUUUCCAGGGGAAGGUUCGUCCGCCCUGGGUUAGUCAGGACCUAAGCCGAGGCCGAAAGGCGUAGGUGAUGGACAACAGGUUGAUAUUCCUGUACCACCAAUAACCGUUUGAGAAAUGGGAUGACACAGUAGGAUAAGCUAACCGCACUGUUGGUUAUGUGCGGGCAAGUAUUGAGGCAGUUCCGAUAGGCAAAUCCGUCGGAAUAAUGCUGGGGUACGAUGCGGAGCGAAAUUUAGUAGCGAAGUAGCUGAUUUCACACUGUCGAGAAAAGUCUCUAUCGAGGUUAAAGGUGCCUGUACCGCAAACCGACACAGGUGGGUGAGGAGAGUAUCCUAAGGCCAGCCAGAGAACUGUUGUUAAGGAACUCGGCAAAAUGACCCCGUAACUUAGGGAGAAGGGGUGCCAUGGAAACAUGGCCGCAGAGAAUAGGCCCAAGCGACUGUUUACCAAAAACAUAGGUUUCUGCUAAGUCGCAAGACGAUGUAUAGGAGCUGACGCCUGCCCGGUGCUGGAAGGUUAAGGGGAUCUGUUAGAGCAAUCGAAGCAGUGAACUUAAGCCCCAGUAAACGGCGGCCGUAACUAUAACGGUCCUAAGGUAGCGAAAUUCCUUGUCGGGUAAGUUCCGACCCGCACGAAAGGCGUAACGAUUUGGGCACUGUCUCAACAACAGACUCGGUGAAAUUGUAAUACCGGUGAAGAUGCCGGUUACCUGCGACAGGACGGAAAGACCCCAUGGAGCUUUACUGUAGCUUGACAUUGAGUCUCGGUGCUACAUGUACAGGAUAGGUGGGAGGCUAUGAAGCAUGGACGUCAGUCUGUGUGGAGCCAUCCUUGGGAUACCACCCUUGUAGUACUGGGAUUCUAACCAGCUGCCUUGAAUCAGGUAGUGGGACACUGUCAGGUGGACAGUUUGACUGGGGCGGUCGCCUCCUAAAAAGUAACGGAGGCGCUCAAAGGUUCUCUCAGUACGGUCGGAAAUCGUACGUAGAGUGUAAAGGCAGAAGAGAGCUUGAUUGCAAGACAUACAGGUCGAGCAAGGACGAAAGUCGGACUUAGUGAUCCGGUGGUUCCGCAUGGAAGGGCCAUCGCUCAACGGAUAAAAGCUACCCUGGGGAUAACAGGCUGAUCUCCCCCAAGAGUCCACAUCGACGGGGAGGUUUGGCACCUCGAUGUCGGCUCAUCACAUCCUGGGGCUGUAGUAGGUCCCAAGGGUUGGGCUGUUCGCCCAUUAAAGUGGUACGCGAGCUGGGUUCAGAACGUCGUGAGACAGUUCGGUCCCUAUCCGUCGCAGGCGUAGGAAAUUUGAGGAGACCUGUCCUUAGUACGAGAGGACCGGGAUGGACGUACCGCUGGUGUACCAGUUGUUCUGCCAAGGGCAUAGCUGGGUAGCUAAGUACGGACGAGAUAAACGCUGAAGGCAUCUAAGCGUGAAACUCCCCUCGAGAUAAGUGUUCCCAUCCUUCGGGAGUAAGGCCCCUUGU